rnacentral:rRNA from 1 species
AUGGCGAAUCCCAUCACGCCGAGAUGCGGCGACGCGCCGCGACCCAUGCCGCACCUGGACGACGGCAUCCUCUCCGAAAUUCUUUACCGGCUGCCCACCAAGGAUGCCUACCGUGUCGCCGCCGUCAGCCCGUGGUGGCGCACGGUGCUCUCCCUGCCGACGUUCCUCAGCCGCCAUCUCUCCCCGCGGCCGCUCCCGCUCCUCGACGACCGCCCGUACGCGCUCGUCAUCCAGCCGCGGCGCAACGUCGGUUACUUCACCCACCUCACCCUCGUCCCCAUCGAACCCGCAGGUCGCGUCCCCGUCAACGUCCCUCUCCAGCGCAAGUACAUGGCUACCAACUCCGACACGCAGCCCUGCCUCCUUGACACGGCUGGAGACGACUCCGUGUUCCAAUUCCAACUUCUCUACUCCACCGGCACGGACGAUCCUGCUUCUCCUGCGGCGGACGACCACGACGACGCUGAUCGGCAUGGCCACGAUCUGCCUGUGGAUGGCGUCGACAUCUCGUCUGGCCAGGCCACAACCACAACGACGACGGACGCCUCGGAUGAGGAUGCUGUGCCGGCGCCGCCCCUGGGAGAGCGAGUAGAAGAUUACGUCGUCUUCUUCGAGUGCACCGUCCCGAUGCUCGACAUCUCGAUCGUGGCGUCGCACGGCCGGCUGCUGCUGGGCUGCAGCCGGAGCCGCUACUAUGUGUGCGACCCGGCCGCGAACCGCUGGCUUUUGCUCCCCCCGUCCACCAUCUCGCCGGUCAGCGCGGCCAACACGGGUUUCCACUACGACGCGUCGUCCACUGGCCUGCUCACCUUCACCGUGGUCCUCCUCGCCCGGCGCCGGCGUCAGCGCGUGCGCGUGGAGACCUUCAGGUCCGCGACCGGCAGGUGGGACACAAGGGAGCAAGUCGCGAGCGGCGCCGCCCGCUGCCUCGGCACGGCGUCCCAUGGCAUCCACGCCGGCAACUGCUUCUACUGGCUCAGCCGGCGCCGGGGCCGCAUCCUCCGGUACGACGCCGCUCGCGAAUGCGCCUCCGUGUUACGCGAGCCAGCAGAGGCGGGGCGGUCGAAACGGAGGGUGGGACGGUCGUUGGGAUCCGUCGCGGCCGGCUCCGGAUUCAUCGGCGUGUGGUUGAUGGACGAGGCGGCAGCGCGGCCACUGUGGCGGCGUGUGCACGAGAAAGUUCUGGGCGAGAUGUGGGAUUACUAUAUAAAUACGCCGUCGUACCACGAGAAGCCGGUGGAUUUCGCCGGUGCGUCCGGCGGGUUUGUGGUGGUGGAGGAGAACCACGGCCUGCGCCGGCAUGACCUCGAGACUGCCGGCAACGUGCGUCUCGCCACCCUCUAA